rnacentral:rRNA from 1 species
GAUGAACGCUAGCGGCAGGCCUAACACAUGCAAGUCGAGGGGUAGAACACUUCGGUGUUUGAGACCGGCGCACGGGUGCGUAACGCGUAUGCAAUCUACCUUGUACAGGGGAAUAGCCCAGAGAAAUUUGGAUUAAUGCCCCAUAGUAUAUAACCUUCGCAUGUUGGUUAUAUUAAAGUUCCAACGGUACAAGAUGAGCAUGCGUCCCAUUAGUUAGUUGGUAAGGUAACGGCUUACCAAGACGAUGAUGGGUAGGGGUCCUGAGAGGGAGAUCCCCCACACUGGUACUGAGACACGGACCAGACUCCUACGGGAGGCAGCAGUGAGGAAUAUUGGUCAAUGGUCGCAAGACUGAACCAGCCAUGCCGCGUGCAGGAAGACGGUCCUAUGGAUUGUAAACUGCUUUUAUACAGGAAGAAACCCUCCCACGUGUGGGAGCUUGACGGUACUGUAGGAAUAAGGAUCGGCUAACUCCGUGCCAGCAGCCGCGGUAAUCACGAG